rnacentral:ribozyme from 14 species
AAUUAUAGAACGGUAAAAAUGGCACAGAAUUAUGGAACUAAAAAGAUGGUACGGGAUUGAUAGUUUGAUCUUUGUGUGACACCAGGGAGGUGUUUAUCUUUUUAUCUUCUUUCUCAUUCCUUCCCUCUCUUUCUC